GGUAAAAUCACACACCAAUCCCUUCAAAUCUCUUAGUAUUUCAGUUUCACACAGAAGUUUUUACUCAGAAAUCGAAUCCAAUCAGAGAUUGGAAGUUCACGAAGAAGAAGAAGGGUUUUGGAAGAAUCUCGAAGUCUCAGGCUGCUGCUCAAGAAAGAAAAAUGACGUUCCAGCUGAUUAGGGCAAGAGACGGAUAUAUUUAUACCCACAAAAGGCAACCAUUGAUCAAGGUUUCAUCCAACGGUCAGGGGCUCCCAAGAAAACUGAAGAAGGCGUGUUUCUGGCUGCGUU
rnacentral:lncRNA from 1 species